UACAGAGGGUGCAAGCGUUAAUCGGAAUUACUGGGCGUAAAGGGCGCGUAGGUGGGAUGAUAAGUCGGAUGUGAAAGGCCUGGGCUUAACCUAGGAACUGCAUUUGAUACUGUCAUUCUAGAGUGAAACAGAGGGUGGUGGAAUUUCCGGUGUAGCGGUGAAAUGCGUAGAUAUCGGAAGGAACACCGGUGGCGAAGGCGACCACCUGGGUUUUUACUGACACUGAGGCGCGAAAGCGUGGGUAGCGAACAGGAUUAGAUACCCUGGUAGUCCACGCUGUAAACGAUGAAUACUAGCUGUUGGAUGGGUUAUACCGUUCAGUAGCGCAGCUAACGCGAUAAGUAUUCCGCCUGGGGAGUACGGCCGCAAGGUUAAA
rnacentral:rRNA from 1 species